UACGGGGGGGGCAAGCGUUGUUCGGAAUUACUGGGCGUAAAGGGCUCGUAGGUGGCCAACUAAGUCAGACGUGAAAUCCCUCAGCUUAACUGGGGACCUGCGUCUGAUACUGGAUGGCUUGAGUUUGGGAGAGGGAUGCGGAAUUCCAGGUGUAGCGGUGAAAUGCGUAGAUAUCUGGAGGAACACCGGUGGCGAAGGCGGCAUCCUGGACCAACACUGACACUGAGGAGCGAAAGCCAGGGGAGCAAACGGG
rnacentral:rRNA from 1 species